rnacentral:lncRNA from 1 species
AUUAUUAUUUUGAUUUGAAUAUAUAUAUCAAGUAACAUAGACACAAAAGUUUUUAACAUAAUGUAAUGAACUUCCAAUAUUUUUUAGUAGCAUAAGCCCAUUAUUUUUUUUCCUAACUUACUACUAUCCAUGUUUCCAAAGAGUACUAUUUUUUAACUACUAUCCAUAUUGCCAAACAAUCUCAAUGUGUACUUCAACUUUAAUAAUAUAGAUAGUGGCAUAUGCUAUUUAAUGAUAUUUUUAUCAACAUACUAUAUAUUAUCUACAAUAUUUUAUUUUAAGAGAAACAUAUAUUUUGUUUAGUCCUGAAAAAUUUAGAUGAAUAGUAGACUACUAAUCGAUACUGUACCUAUAAUGUUUAGUGUUUUAUACAAAUAACAAAUCACAUUUUAGUAGUUUUUUUAACCAUUAUUUUUUUUGUUAAAAGGUUUUAGAGAAAAAAUAUUUUUGAACCAUUAUAUUCUAACAUUAGUUUCUUUCUCACA